rnacentral:rRNA from 1 species
UGGGGAAUAUUGGACAAUGGGGGCAACCCUGAUCCAGCCAUGCCGCGUGAGGGAUGAAGGCCUUAGGGUUGUAAAGCUCUUUUGUGCGGGAAGAAAAUGACGGCACCGCAAGAAUAAGCUCCGGCUAACUUCGUGCCAGCAGCCGCGGUAAUACGAAGGGGGCUAGCGUUGCUCGGAAUCACUGGGCGUAAAGGGUGCGUAGGCGGGUCUUUAAGUCAGGGGUGAAAUCCUGGAGCUCAACUCCAGAACUGCCUUUGAUACUGAAGAUCUUGAGUAUGAGAGAGGUGAGUGGAACUGCGGGUGUAGAGGUGAAAUUCGUAGAUAUUCGCAAGAACACCAGUGGCGAAGGCGGCUCACUGGCCCAUAACUGACGCUGAUGUGCGAAAGCGUGGGGAUCAAACAGG